GGGCGAGGGCGCACGGCGGCGCUCGUGGGACUGACUAUAAAAGGCAGCCGCCGAUCCUACGUGUGAGACAAAGAUGAAGGCGACGAUGAGGAUGCUGGCGCUGGCAGCGGCGCUGAUGAGCGUGUCAGCUGCAAGGCUGGGCGUAGUCCAGACGGAGGGCGGCCAGGUCCAGGGCACCAGUCACGGUGUGGGCCUGUUCAGGUCUGUGGACGUCUUCAAAGGGAUCCCCUUCGCCGGCACCCCGGGACUGUGGGAGAAACCAAAACCUCAUCCCGGAUGGGACGGGGUUCUGAAGGCCACCGAGUACGCCGAGCGCUGCUUGCAGGUGACGUUGCUGCAGACCCAAACCAGAGGAAGUCUCGACUGUCUGUACCUCAACAUAUUUGUGCCUCAGGGACGCAAACUGUCGUCCAACCUGCCCGUCAUGGUGUACCUGUUCGGCGGGGCCUUCCUGCUGGGAGCGUCUGACGACUUGGCCGUCCUGGGAGAUUCGCUGUACGACGGCAAAGAAAUGGCCGAGCGGGGCAACGUCGUGGUGGUGUCGGCCAACUACCGCGUGGGAACGUUGGGCUUCCUCAGCACCGGAGACGCUCGCGUGCCAGGAAACUACGGCCUGUGGGAUCAGCACGCCGCCAUCAAGUGGGUGAGCAGGAACAUCGCCGCCUUCGGAGGAAACCCGGAUAACGUGACCAUAUUUGGCCAGUCGGCCGGGGCCGCCGGCGUCAGCUUCCAGAUGUUGUCCCCGCAUAAUAAAGGAUUAUUCCGCCGGGCCAUCAGUCAGUGCGGCGUGGCCUUGAGUCCUUGGGCCCUCCAGAGGAAACCCAUGGCACUCGCCAAGAAGAUUGCGCGCAAGGUCGGCUGUUACCGUAGCGACGAGGACCUGAUGGUGGCGUGCCUCAGGAUGACGGAUCCGGUGGGCCUGACCGCGGCGGGCAAGGUGGACGUCCUGCAGAUGUUGGGCAACGGCGUGGUCAUGGACCUCCUGGAACACGCCCCCGUGGUGGACGGCGACUUCCUCCCCGACGAGCCCGGUCGGCUCUUUCACAACGCCGCCGACGUGGACUACGUGGCUGGCGUCAACUCCAUGGACGGGCACAUAUUUGCGGGCGUGGACGUGCCCUCCAUCAACAAGAAGAAGGCCAACACCACCGUGGAGGACGUGCGAGGCCUCCUGACGGGCCUGACCAAAGAAAAAGGUACCGCCGCCGUCGCUUCGGCGCUGAGCGUGUACUCCGCCCACUGGGGCUCCGUCCCGGAUCCGGCAGCGGUGAAGAAGACGGUGGCUGACAUCGAGACGGACUUCCUGUUCCUGGUGCCGACCCAGAUCGCGCUCCGGCUCCACGCCGAGCACAGCAGCUUCGUGCUUCAGCGGGGGCCGGACCUUCUCCUACCUGUUCAACAUGAAGACCCGGAUCCCGGGCUUCCCGAGCUGGGCGGAGGCCGAGCACAGCGAGGAUCUCCAGUAUGUUUUUGGCAAACCCUUCGCCACGCCGCUCGUCUACUUCCCGCGACACCGCGACCUGUCCCGGAACAUGAUCGCUUACUGGACGAAUUUCGCCAAGACCGGCGAUCCCAGUCAAGGGGACGGUAAGGUUCCGGUGCCGUGGCCCGCCUUCACCAGAACUCGUCGUCCCUUCCUGACCAUCAACCACGAGAUGAGCGAGUCGUCCGUCAGCUACGACCUGAGAGAGGACUACGUCUCCUACUGGGUCAACAGGUACAGCGGCCUGCCGUCUGCACGCCAGUGACUCGAAGGCGCGAACCGCAGCGACGACGACAGCGCGCUUGCCGCAGAGGAAGCUCACCGGCGCCACGUUACGCCAUCGCAUUUGGAUUCUGUCAAAAUGUGAAAACCUUUGAAACAACUGACUUCUGGCUCUUCUGAUCACAUAUUUCAGGGAUGUACGCCACACGGGGAUAUUAAAGUGUACACGACGUGUAAAGUGUCAAGUAAAGUCAAGUGUACAAGGACUGCAAUAGGAUACUCCAGUGCAGGAAAGUUUCUACUUUGUCACCACAAACGGCUGAAUGUGCCAGCAAAGCAAAAU